rnacentral:rRNA from 1 species
UAUCUCUGUAGAGUCUGCAUAUCAAUAAGCGGAGGAAAAGAAACUAACAAGGAUUCCCUUAGUAACGGCGAGUGAAGCGGGAAGAGCUCAAAUUUGAAAUCUUCAAGGUUUGACCUUGACGAAUUGUAGUUUAAAGAAGUGUUUUCGGUUAGAGGAGUAGUAAAAGUUCUUUGGAAUAGGACAUCAUAGAGGGUGAGAAUCCCGUAUUUGACUAUUCUUUCUAGCUUUGUGAUACACUUUCAAAGAGUCGGAUUGUUUGGGAAUGCAGUCCAAAAUGGGUGGUAAAUUUCAUCUAAAGCUAAAUAUUGGCGAGAGACCGAUAGCGAACAAGUACCGUGAGGGAAAGAUGAAAAGAACUUUGAAAAGAGAGUUAAACAGUACGUGAAAUUGUCAAAAGGGAAGCGUUUGACACCAGUGUUGUUUUUCCGAAAAUCAAUUAAAAAUUGAUUCAUGCCAGGUUGUAUUGACCUUAUCAGCUUGCAAUUUGGUUUUGGGUCUCUUUUUGAUGCACUUUUCGGUUAACAAGUCAACAUCAAUUUCCUUUGCUGUAAAAAGGUAAGAGGAAGGUGGCUUCAAUUUCGGUUGAAGUGUUUAUAGCCUUUUAUCUCUGCAGUCGGGGAGAUUGAGGUCUGCAGCGUAGAUCCUUCGGGGCUAGAUACAUUUAUGCUAAGUUAUAGCUUUUCAUAGACAACUUGUUGACUAUAUUUAGUCAUGUAGCUUACUCGUAAGUGCUAUUUUACCUACGCUUAGGAUGUUGAAGACUCUACAGAGAUA